AUACGGAGGAUCCGAGCGUUAUCCGGAUUUAUUGGGUUUAAAGGGUGCGCAGGCGGCCAUUUAAGUCAGCGGUUAAAUCGUGGGGCUCAACCCCAUUCUGCCGUUGAUACUGGGUGGCUUGAUUGCGGUCGAGGUUGGCGGAAUUCGUUGUGUAGCGGUGAAAUGCAUAGAUAUGACGAAGAACACCGAUUGCGUAGGCAGCUGACCAGACCGCAAAUGACGCUCAUGCACGAAAAUGCGGGGAUCGAACAGGAUUAGAUACCCUGGUAGUCCGCACAGUAAACGAUGAAUACUUGUUUUCGGCGAUAUAAUGUCGGAGGCAAAGCGAAAGCGAUAAGUAUUCCACCUGGGGAGUACGCCGGCAACGGUGAAACUCAAAUGAAUUGGCGGGG
rnacentral:rRNA from 1 species